rnacentral:rRNA from 1 species
AUAACAUCCGGAAACGGGUGCUAAUACCGCAUAGUUUUCUUGAUCGCAUGAUUGAGAAGGAAAGACGGCCUUUGUGCUGUCGCUUAUGGAUGGACCCGCGGCGUAUUAGUUAGCUGGUGAGGUAAUGGCUCACCAAGACGAUGAUACGUAGCCGACCUGACGAGGGUGAUCGGCCACAUUGGGACUGAGACACGGCCCAAACUCCUACGGGAGGCAGCAGUAGGGAAUCUUCCGCAAUGGACGAAAGUCUGACGGAGCAACGCCGCGUGAGUGAAGAAAAGGUUUUUCGGAUCGUAAAACUCUGUUGUCAGAGAAGAACAAGUUGGAGAGUAACUGCUCCAGCCUUGACGGUAUCUGACCAGAAAGCCACGGCUAACUACGUGCCAGCAGCCGC